rnacentral:lncRNA from 2 species
GGUUUCUCCUGGACUCUUCAGUUACUACGACCCCAUACCCAUAGGCCGUUCACGCUGCGCAGAUCAGAAAGGCCCAACACAUUUUGCCGGGCCACCCCCCGGUCCCGCACGACGCGCCGCCGUCAAAUCCUCGUGCGCGGCCGGCCUAGCUGCCCCCCUUCCCCGGCGAGCACCGGUGCACGUCGCGGCAGAAGAGAGCGUUGGCGUCAAGGGAUGGGCAAGACGCCAAAGGGCGGUCUCUUGCUCCAUGCCUACAACCACAUCGGACCAAGGCCGGGAACACUUGUUGGACACGCAGUGGUUCCUCACGUGCCAAGGGUCAUGACCAUGUCAAACCUACGGCGACGCUCCCUCUGA